UAUUCAGCAAAACCUAGAACCAAUUUUAUAGAUAUGCGAUGAUACAAAGAAAUUAGAUUUUCAGAUACAACUUUACACAAUGACUGUAGGGAAUUAUUUACAUCACCACUAUUCCCUACUUACAAUCAAAACCUAUCACUAUCACAAAACACUACAGCUACAUACCAACAAGCAUGCGGGAGAUAACGUGUGAGAAUAAAAAGAAGAAAAAUGAGAGAAGACCAAUCGGCUCCUCCCUUCAAAUUCAGCCAACCACCAUCUCCAAUCCUUUGACUUUACAGCCAACAACUCACUUAUUAAAGCACCAGCCUAACA
rnacentral:lncRNA from 1 species